GUCCUGGAUCCCUUCACUAACUGUAGUAUGAGUGAGGGAGUUUAUGACUUCCCAUCUGAUAGAUGGCGAUGUGUGAGUUCGCAUGAUCAGGGGUCUUUAGGAAAUAACUGAGUAAUUGAUAAAGUUCCUGUUCACAGUGUGUAAAAGCUUGGGAAAUUUUUCCUUAGCUAGACGUGUGUGGAAAAGAGGUUGUCUCCCCCAAAUCCUGACACACACUGUAGGCUAUCUCCUUCCCUCUCCCCUCAGAUACCUCCUUUUCCCGUCCCUGGGAACCAAGAAAAGAUAACCUAUUCCCAGAAGUUUGGAACAUGUAGAAGGGCCUCUGUAGGCACCAACAAAGCUCCAAGAGUUGGUGGCUGUACAGAUGAAGAAGAGACACAAAGAGAACCUCUAUAGACAUUUAACUUGAGCUUCUUGGGAUUUCUAUGCAUUCUCUGGAUGUUUCCCCAGACUGUGGCCAUCAAGAGUUGCAGAGUGGGGCCCAUCUUGCACAGGCUCAAUAUCAGAACUCAGUGAAUAUCAGUGCUGCUUGCCCAUCAAGGAAAAUCAGUAUGCCCUGAACCUGAGUCUCCACCUUCAAAGUCUAUUCUGGAAGAAACAGUUCUUGUGCCCACUUCAACACACAAGUCUAAUCUAAGCCUUUGUGGUAGUUAACCUUCAUCAGGACAUUCCUGCAGCGACCCUCAUGGCCAGGUUCUUCCUCAUCCCAUGCCAGAGGGGCACCUGCAGGCUCUAGCCUGCUGUUCUCUAUGGACAGAUGACCAUCUUGAGACUGGCUCCUGCUGGCUGAAGGCUCUGACAUUUACUCUGGCUAAGAGGUCUGGGCUACUAUGGAAAGUAACACAAAGUGUUCCAUGUUCUUAGUUCUCAUCUCAGCCCUAUCACAGGGCUUUCUAUUCUGGCAGCCCUGGUGAGCACCCACUUGGCUCACUUUUAGUCUGGGAGCAUAGAGAAUACGGAUCCGACAUGUCAUGUUUGGGGUGACAAUCUCCAUUCUUCCCGAUGCACUUUCAGAGAAAAUUUAAAUGGCCUUAACGUGGGUGUUCUCACUCUCCUGGGCUCCACAGGGCUUCGAUUUUGCCAUGAUUGUGAUUUCUAUGAUGGAUUCAAAUGCCGUGGUCCCAAGAAACGUUGCUGGAAGUUUAACUUAUCCCUCAAAUCCAAUAAGAGUUGCACCACAGAUCACUAUUACUACAAUGAUCCAAUUACAGGGAGAUAUCUGUACCGAUAUACAAAACUGUCUUGUAAUCCUUGUGAAGAGGGAAUGUUCCAAGUAUACCAUGACUUACUGAGAGAAACAUUUUGCUGCACUGAUAAACAUAUGUGUAAUACUGGACAUGAUAUUUUGGAAAAGUCAGAGCUUUUUGGAGAAGAUAAAGAACACACUAUCCAUGAUGAUGUCCUACCAUAACCUUAAACUAUCCUCCCAGUAAUUUUUGCCCUUCCCCUACACAAUGGCAACAUCAUCUCACAUUAUCUCAAACCCAGACCCUACUCUCUACUCUUUUCCAGCAGAUCUACCCAUGGAAGCUCUGUAUGUCCUGUGUCAGUGUUUCUCCAUUAAGAGGAAAAUAAGAACACCCAUGUCUGCCUUCUGGUUGGAUUCCUGUCUUUACCUCCUGAUGGCGUCUGGCAAUCUGUAACUAUCCUUAAGUUCUGAUGCUAAGCCUGGGGUCAAAUCUUUGGCAAAGGGAGCAAAGUAUUUUUCUGGUAGAGCUUCUGAGCAAAGAUCAAGAGAAAGCAGGCUGGAGAGAAAUAGGGACACGAAAUUGCAAGAGAUUUUAGGAGAAAUCUUUGGGUUUGUUGGAGGGCAGGAAAGGCUUGUGUUAAGUAGGGGCUUGAGAAAGUAAAUGUGAAGAUAGAAAACUCUGCCAUGAACUAGACAAACAGUCUUUGUGCCUCUGCCACCAUUUGGGGGAAACUGUACCAACCACGGCUCCUCCUGACCACACAGACCAAAGUUACCAUGUUUCUAAUGACCUUCUCUUGCUUUCAUGGCCAAAGCCAAGGACAUCAGGGUAAACACUUGGCCUGGUAUUGGCCAGCUACUCUGUUUCCUGGCAUGUGAGGAGUCCCUUCCCACCCAGUUCUGAAAAAUAUUUAAAUAUCUCCUUGCAUUCAAUGAAUUCAUUGGUAAAAAGCUGAGUGCUUUUCAUCUAUUGACACAUCCCUGCAACAAAUUAUGUCAAGGGAAGAUAAGAGUUUCAGACUUCACUGUGGUGUCCUAACAAAAAUAAUAAGCUGUGAAAUGACAAAAAUGACUCCCUAAAGUAUUAUUCACUCACUUUGGUUGAACUUUUCUUUUACUAUGCUUGCAUUCCUAUGUUGGAAUCUACAGACACUAUUACAUUUCAUAUUUGGCUGUACAGUUAUGUGUACAUAUAUAAUAUUAUCCCAGUUUUAGUAGUAUCCCUCCUGAUCCAGGCUUAUAAUUGCUUACUGCUUUCUACCACAUUGUAUUUGCAUA